rnacentral:lncRNA from 1 species
CUUCUAAAUUAAAAAAAUCAGAUAGAAUAGAAUUCCUUCGCGAUCGAGUCUCCCGUAAAAAAAAUAUAUCUUUUCCGAAUCAAUCUGUGUGAUAAAUCUGAAAAUUAUCAGGACUCCGAGAUAGAUACGACUCCAACUUUUUCUCUAUAAAUAAAAGCUUUAGGAUCCUCAAAAUAUGCAAUCGACUCCUCGCUCUCUCAUCUCGUUGUUCUCCAUCUCCUAAUUUGGACGUCGGAGGGUCUUCAUUGGAGAACGCCCCUGAUGAGGACUUCUUUGUAGGUGUUUGGACGAAGCUUUAGCGACGGUUUUUACCUCGAUCACAUCCACUUCGACGACCGAUCUCAAACGGAAAGAUCGACAACAACAGUAAUCAAAUUUAGUGGAAACCUAUUUCGUUAGUUCUUGUCAAAUAAGAGAGAGAGCGCACAUACACACACACACACACACACACACACAC